CACUGUAAUGUGCAGUACUGAUUGUUCAUUGUGUGUAGCCUUUCUCUCAUCUCUGUAUGGUUCUAUCUCUGGUCUCUGCAGCGGAGGGCUCUCUAUCUCAGGGUCUGUCUGCUGGUGCCAUCACUAGGAUUGUGAUUGCAAUAUUGGUGGUUGUGGGAGGGGCAGUUGGUGUUGCAGUGUUCUUCAUCAAGAAAAAUGGGUGAGUUAAGAAACUUAUCAUAGACAUGUAAACUUAAAAAUAUAUGUUUUCAUUUAAUUUCAAAAGUGUCUUUUCUAUCACUGCAGGUAGUGGAAAAUAUAGACUCUAUUUUCACAUUGAUCAAAGUUGGUCACUAAGAGGGCCUUGGUGUAUUUCAAAAGCUAUUAAUAAAAAAACACUGUAGCAUUAUGUUCUUAUUAUUUUCUAAAUACAUUUUUUUUCCCUUUUUUAUUUAUUGUUGUAUAUACAACCACGGCUGACCCAAUGCAUCGAAGAGGCUCUAAACAACCUGUAUAUGAGAACCCAUCACCUGUGUAUGAGAACACACAACAAAAUCAAUCUCCACCUCUACCCCUUACAGAUUUCAAGAAUACCUGUGAUACUAGGAUAAUUUAAAAGAAGUCAAUAGACAACACCUCCAAUCAACUACCAUUCUCCUGUUCCAUCGAUCAAGUUAAAUCGAUCAUCAACACAUAUAAAACCUGCAUGAUAACACCCAGUGUGGAUCUGUAAUAUAAUGUACAUAAUCAAUACAUUUAUCUUAUGUUUGAUUGUCUGCUUGAUUGUGUACUUUAUUAAUUGAAAACAAUAACCUUGUUUUGAAAGUAGAUAACACAUUAUAUACUGUAACUUAGCUAAAUGAAGCGUAAUGUGGAGGCUGUAAUGUUAACAAUAUAAUGUAAUAGUCAAUACAAGUAUUUAUAGUACACUGUAUUGAGAAGUGUGAUGCCAAAAAGGGAAAAGAAGCUUGAGUACUUUAUUGCUUUACAUGAUAUAUAACCAGAAUGAUUAAUAAAUAUUGCCA